UUUUCCUAGGUCCCGGCCGGUCUGCGAAGCGAUGUUCAUCGCCAAGGUUUGGGCGCAGACCGUACCGGGACCUGGGUUUUGUCAGGCAGGCGGAGGUUUUGCUUUUCGAGGCCCCUCGGGAACCCCGUUCCCGAGGGAGCCAGCUGGCGUGCGCCGAUAGUCCCAGGUGGCUUAGUGGGGGGUUGGAGGUGUGGAUGUAGUGUAGAGUACUAACCUUGUGUUUUUGUGUUUUCUCUUUCAGGUUUUUGUAGGUUUUUUUAGAUUUAGAAUAAAAAAACCCCAGCUGGGGGAUUUUUUUUUUCCCCCAGCUGGGGUUUUUUUUCCUAGGUCCCGGCCGGUCUGCGAAGCGAUGUUCAUCGCCAAGGUUUGGGCGCAGACCGUACCGGGACCUGGGUUUUGUCAGGCAGGCGGAGGUUUUGCUUUUCGAGGCCCCUCGGGAACCCCGUUCCCGAGGGAGCCAGCUGGCGUGCGCCGACAUUCCGGGGUGUCCGGUGGGUAGUGGAUGGGUUGAGGGCUUGUCAGGCAGGUGCAGGUUUGGCUUUUUGAGGCUUCCUGGGAACUGUGUUCUUGAGGGAGUGCUGUCAAUGUGUUACUUGUAUUGUAACUUGUACUGUAACAGCUUUUGCACCUUGUACCUUGUACUUUGAAAUUUAACUUGUAAUGUGUAACUUAUACCUUGUACUUUGAAAUUUAACUUGUAAUGUGUAACUUGUACUGUGCAAUUUGUAACGUCAUUUGUAAUUUGUAUGUUAAGUAAUAAAGGUUUGUAACUAACUUCUAAUUUCUAACUUGUGUUUUCUAAAUUUUUGUACCUUCUAACUUGUACUCUCUUAGUUCUUGUGCUGUCUAACUUAGUUCUUGUCUUCUCUAACUUCUUGUACUGUCCAACUUAGUUCUUGUACUCUCUAACUUCUUGUACUGUCCAACUUAGUUCUUGUCCUCUCUAACUUCUUGUACUGUCCAACUUAGUUCUUGUACUCUCUAACUUCUUGUACUGUCCAACUUAGUUCUUGUCCUCUCUAACUUCUUGUACUGUCCAACUUAGUUCUUGUACUCUCUAACUUCUUGUACUCU